GUUUCUAUGGUCAGAAAGAGUCGCCAAAAAAUUCAUUCUUUCUUUUUGGACUUGCCGGGCGCAUACAUUACAUCGGAGCACGAAAAACAAGGUGGACUCUUUGCCAGAAGAGCUCUUGAUUAUUCUGUGUCGUUGCGUGUAACGCCAAAAGUGACAUUUAAGUAAUUGUGCAGAGUUUAUUUCGGAUUAAUUACAUAAUUGAAAUUAUACUCCAUUUUCCCAUAUCUAUGGUUCUAUGGUCAGAAAGAGUCGCCAAAAAAUUCAUUCUUUCUUUUUGGACUUGCCGGGCGCAUACAUUACAUCGGAGCACGAAAAACAAGGUGGACUCUUUGCCAGAAGAGCUCUUGAUUAUUCUGUUUAGGUAUCAUUAAACAAUACAAUUUGUUGAAGUUCAUUGCUGAAGGCCUUGCAUUCGUGGCGUCAACUAGAAAUUCUUGUGUUAAUGGAGUCUUCAAGGAAGUCAGCGACAUGCAAACAAGUAAUAAAUUAAAGGUCUUCCAAACAAUAGGCAUCUGAAUAAUGACAGAAAUGCUGGAAAACGGAAGCGUGAAAAGGGUCCAGCUCCUCCCAUGCCUGUCAUUUGCAUGAGUGUGAUGCCAUUGCCUAUCGCAGAUAAAAAACAUGAUUUGGAGAUCAUUGAGUUGCAAUAUUAGUGAUAAUUCUACAAGAAGCAUAGAAACUGCAACUGCCAGUAUGACGGAUGAUCAAGUAGAUGAUUUUUUGCUUCAGUUGUUUGAAAUUGUAAAGGAGAAAAAUGAACUAUUCUGGAGGCAAGCCUAGUUGAGUAUACCUCUGCUAUAAAAUAGAAGCUGUCGACAAUAAUCAAGUUAAUUAUAAAAAAUAAGUUAACUCUGGAAUGAGAAUCCUGUAUUAUCUUACUGCUGCAGUAGACUUCUUUGCUUCAUUAACUAUCGGAUGGCAACCUAUAAGAGAAAUAUCUGCUGAGGGAUCAAAAAGACUUCUAUGGAAACUGAAUUUAUUAAACUGAAUACGCGUAGAGACUUCAAGGAUGUCAUUUUUGAGCCGUGUCAAGUGGCUCCGCCGGCGACUUGAUUGGUCCACGCGAUUGUCAAGUUGUUCAUUUGCGUGAUGGGCAGCAAGAGGACCUCCAAGACCAAGGGAGAGGACCCAGGGAAGUACCCAAUAAUAAUAAGUGUGUUAUGAAAACGAGCAAAAUUAAACAAAUCAUUGUCGGGUUCUCAUUCAUUUAUUCGCGUUUGCUUCCAUUGUAUUUAAAUUUUGUGCAAUUUCUUUUAACAAUUUGUGACAUU